AAGUCGUAACAAGGUCUCCGUUGGUGAACCAGCGGAGGGAUCAUUACAGAGUUGCAAAACUCCCAACCAUUGUGAACCUACCUCACCGUUGCUUCGGCGGGUGGCGCUCCCUCACCCGGAGCGCCGCGCCGGCCCCUCCCCGGGGCCCGGCAACCCGUCAGAGGCCCGCAACUCUUAGUCAUCAUUGGCCUCUCUGAGUAACUUAUACAAUAAGUCAAAACUUUCAACAACGGAUCUCUUGGUUCUG
rnacentral:misc_RNA from 1 species